rnacentral:rRNA from 1 species
AAUAGAUACCCCGGUAGUCCACGCCGUAAACGAUGGAUGCUAGCUAUUGGGGGGAAUCGACCCCCUCCGAAGCGAAGCUAACGCGUUAAGCAUCCCGCCUGAGUAGUACGAGCGCAAGCUUAAAACUCAAAGGAAUUGACGGGGACCCGCACAAGCGGUGGAGCGUGUGGUUUAAUUCGAUGGUAAACGAAGAACCUUACCAAGGUUUGACAUCCCGGUAGCCGUUCUCCGAAAGGAGAAUUUCAUUUAGUUGGACCGGUGACAGGUGAUGCAUGGCCGUCGUCAGCUCGUGUCGUGAGAUGUUGGGUUAAGUCCCGCAACGAGCGCAACCCUUAUGAUUUAGUUGGAUUUUUCUAAACAGACUGCCCUGGUAACAGGGAGGAAGGAGGGGAUGAUGUCAGGUCAGUAUUUCCCUUACACCUUGGGGCGACACACGCGCUACAAUGGCCGGUACAAUGGGCAGCUAAGCCGCGAGGCGGAGCAAAUCCCAUCAAAGCCGGUCCCAGUUCGGAUUGCAGGCUGAAACCCGCUGCAUGAAGCCGGAAUCGCUAGUAACC